rnacentral:rRNA from 1 species
AAACAUCGCCUCCUGCAAAAUCAAUGUAUAGGAGGUCUUGCCUGCCCAGUGACAAGUUAAACGGCCGCGGUAUUCUGACCGUGCGAAGGUAGCGCAAUCACUUGUCUUUUAAAUGAAGACCUGUAUGAAUGGCGGAACGAGGGCUUAACUGUCUCCCCUUUCAAGUCAAUGAAAUUGAUCUGCCCGUGCAGAAGCGGACAUAUAAAUACAAGACGAGAAGACCCUUUGGAGCUUAAGAUAUAAAAUCAACUACGUCAAGGGUACAAACCAAACUAAGUAACACCUGAUUACAUAUCUUCGGUUGGGGCGACCACGGGAGAAAACAAAGCUCCCAUGAGGACUGGGGUUACACCCUAAAACCAAGAAAGACAUUUCUAAGUCACAGAACAUCUGACCAUAAAGAUCCGGCCACUCGCCGAUCAACGGACCAAGUUACCCUAGGGAUAACAGCGCAAUCCCCUUUAAGAGUCCAUAUCGACAAGGGGGUUUACGACCUCGAUGUUGGAUCAGGACAUCCUAUUGGUGCAGCCGCUAUUAAGGGUUCGUUUGUUCAACGAUUAAAGUCCUACGUGAU